UCUGUAUUGAUGAAUAAAAUUGGUUCUCUUUUCCUCUCUUUUUUCUUCUUAGUUAUUUUCCAUAGUCCCCAAACAAACUUUUUCCUCUUCUUAAUUAUUUCCUUAGCCCCAAAGAAAAUUAUGAAAAAAGUUCCACAACCAAGCAUUAAAAAUUAAAGCUCCUUCCUUAAGCAUUCAAAUAUUUUCAUUAUUUUAUGUAAAGAAAUCUGUAAAUGAUGCUGUUGCAUAGAAGAGAAAGAAACCAAUGCUGGUGGGAAGAUUCAAACCCAAAACCUCUAAUGCUCCAAGCACCUUAUACCACUUGAUUACUCCAACACUUUGAUGCCUUAUGCACAAAGAUUUUAUAAAACCCUAUUGAUAUAUGAUCAAAUUUAUUCAUUUGAGGAUUGAAAAUCAGAUCUAUUCUCUGGGAUCUUAAAUUGCCGGAUGGCAAGAUUUGCAGGAAGGUCUUGGGCUUCAAACAUUCAGCUACAUCAAUUUUUCACAUAUAUUUUGACAUCGUAUUAUAAUCAGAUUCAUAAUUGGUGAAGUUGGCGAGGCAAUUAAUUUUUCGGUGACCUAGAAUCGUUGGUGGGCUGCUAUUUCUUGAAGAUAAGGAGUCAAUUUGGGGUUUUAGGUUGAAAUUCUUCGUUUAAACUUUAUGUUGGAUAUAUCAAUUUUUGUGAAUUUGGUUUGGGAAUCAUCUCAAUUGGAGAUUUAAUUGUCGUUUCUAGGUUUGAGAAGUCUCAUGGUUGCAUUUGCAUCAUAAUCAUAUCAAGCGUGUAAUGAAAACCCUAAAAAUUGCAAAUUACUGAAAACCGAAAAAUUGGACUAUCAACGCCACACGGGCGUGUGGGUCCAAAUUCUAAAAUUUUUCCCGGAGGUUGUAGUUGCCAUGCGAAUUGAAUAUAGCCCUUUUGUAGGGUCUGCAUGGUAUAAUUUUGCCUAUAAACCAUGAUUUCUGUUACUCUAUUACUGUUUAAUAUGACUAGUAAACACAUAGGUAGUAUGUUAUAUGUGAUAGCAUGAUCUGUUAUAUGCUAAGUAUGAUAUGAAUAUGAUAUGAAAAACAUGUAUGUCAUACACUAUGUGAUAUCUGUCUAGUUUUGCAUAUGCAUUGUGGUGGGAAAUUUGUUUAUGGAGGAAAUGCUGGCAGUUUAAUUUAUCUGUUUAAUUUGAUAGUGUAGCCAUGUGUAUCUGUAUUUGGAGGGUAUAUCGCUUAUUGAUCUGGCAACUAAACUGCAAGUACUCUGAAAAGUGUCAUAUAGACACUAAUUGGUGUGUAGGGCUGGUUGGGUAUUUAAUACCCUAAUUGGUAUGAAGGGAUGGUCAGAGAUGGUGUCUAGCGGAUGGAGGAGAGCAUUUGGAAGCAAAAGAAGCGAAAAACAAGCGAAAAUUGGACAAAUAAAGCUUAUUUCAAGAGCCACACAACCUGGGCUUUCCCACAUGGGUUGGACACAUGGCCGUGUGAGCCAUUCAGAUGUGCCAGACCGUGUCAAUUUCGCGACUUGCAUCCCAAACACGCGGAAAAUUGUAAUUUUUAGGCUUUCUGGGCAUUCUAAAGAAUAUAAAUAUCAAAUAGAAUAAGAGAAUAGGGAGUCAUCAGAGAAUAUCGAAGAAAACAACUCGAAGAACUCUAUGGGAGCCAACACUGAAGCGAAUUUCCAAUCAAGACUAAAGACCUCCUUUUAAUUUCUCUUGAAGUUUUUAUGAGUUUCUUUAUUUCUUAUGAUUAUUCUGACUUUGAGAUGUUUUUAUUCACAAUUAUGAACUAAUUCCCUAGAUACCUAGGGAGGAUGAACCCUAUGAUGAAUUCUAUGAUUUAAUUUCUGUUUUAUGCGAUAAAUAUUUGAUUCUUGUUCUUA